rnacentral:rRNA from 1 species
CCUACGGGAGGCCGCAGUCGGGAAUCUUCCACAAUGGGCGAACGCCUGAUGGAGCAACGCCGCGUGGGUGCAGAAGGUCUUCGGAUCGUAAAACCCUGUUGUUAGAGAAGAAAGUGCUUGUGCUUAUCUGUUCACGUUUCGACGGUAUCUAACCAGUAAUCCACGCCUAACUAAGUUCCAGCAGCCGCGGUCAUACGUAGGUGGCAAGCGUUCUCCGGAUUUAUUGGGCGUAAAGGGAACGCCGGCGGUCUUUUAAGUCUGAUGUGAAAGCCUUCGGCUUAACCGGAGAAGGGCAUUCGAAACUGGGAGACUGGAGUGCAUAAGAGGAGAGUGGAACUCCAUGUGUAGCGGUGAAAUGCGUAGAGAUAUGGAAGAACACCAGGGGCGAAGGCGGCUCUCUGGUCUGUAACUGACGCUGAGGUUCGAAAGCGUGGGUAGCAAACAGGAUUAGAUACCCUUGUAGUC